rnacentral:rRNA from 1 species
AUGGCGUGCUCUGCGGCGGUGACCUCGGUGGGGCUCGCAAGCAACAUGUUGCAGGUCAUGCCUUGGGGGUCGCACGUGUUGGUGGUGUCGACGGAGACCAUUGGGCCAUCUUACUAUGCGGGUAAUAAGCGCUCCAUGCAGUUGGUUAACAUCUUGUUCCGCAUAGGCGGUGCUGCCAAGUUGUUAUCGACUUCUAAGUCCAAGGCUCGGUUUCGUCUUGGACAUUUCACGCGGACGAUCACUGCGGCAAACAACGCUGCUUACCGAUGUGUUUAUCAAGAGGAAGAUGACAAGGGCAACUUAGGGAUUGCUCUCUCUAAAGACCUUAUGGAUGUUGCUAGGGACGCACUCAAGGACAAUAUCAUGACAAUCGGGCCUCUUGUCCUACCAGCAUCAGAGCUUCUCAAGUUAUUGUUCUUCUAUGUGGCGAAAAAGGUGCUCCGUUGGAGGAAGAUCAGACCGUACAUCCCCAACUUUUGUGUUGCAUUUGAGCAUUUCUGCAUCCAUGUCGGUGGACCGGCCGUUAUCACCUCAGUACAACGUGGUCUUAACCUAUCAGACAAGCAUGUUGAGGCGUCGAAGAUGACGCUGCAUCGAUUUGGAAACCAGUCGACCUCGUCGGUGUGGUAUGAGUUAUCAUACAUCGAGGCCAAAGGCCGGAUGAAGAAAGGCGACAUGGUAUGGAUGAUCGGAUUCGGUGCAGGGUAUGAGUGCAACACCGUUGGGUGGGUAUGUAUACAACCAUCUUCACGUAUGGAUGGACCCUGGGCUAGCUGCAUCCAUCGUUACCCAGUGGACGUCUCCAAGAGUGGUUAA